AUGCUGAUGAACAAGGCAUCUAGUUACCUCCUGGACCAAUAUAAUGUGAUGGAGGGAUUGCAAAAGCAACACAAAAUUCUCAAACGCAAGCUUCCGGCUAUUCUUGAUGUCAUCACUGAUGCCGAGGAGCAGGCGACGGCCCACAGAGAAGGGGCGAAAGCCUGGCUCGAGGAGCUCAAGACGGUGACAUAUGAGGCACAUGAAGUCCUCGACGAAUUCAAGUAUGAAGCACUCCACCGUGAAGCCAAGAAAAAGGGGCACUACACUAAGCUUGGCUUCGAUGUGAUAAAACUCCUCCCUACUAACAACCGUAUCAUGUUCCGUUACAAAAUGGCUCGCAAGCUUUGCCAGAUUGUGCGGGCCGUUGAGGUCCUCGUCGCAGAGAUGCAAGCCUUUCGGUUCAAGUACCGGCCACAGCUGCCAAUGUUCAAAGAGUGGUGGCAGACAGAUUAUGUCAUCAUGGACGCACAAGAAAUGGCCAGCAGAUCCAGAGAAGAAGAUAAGAAAAAUAUUGUUGAUAUACUACUUGGUGAGCGCAGCUUAUAUACAAUGAACCUAAAAUUCAGAAGGAUAUUCAGUUGA
rnacentral:rRNA from 1 species